GACGAACGCUGGCGGCAGGCUUAACACAUGCAAGUCGAACGCCCCGCAAGGGGAGUGGCAGCCGGGUGAGUAACGCGUGGGAACAUACCCUUUUCUACGGAAUAGCUCUGGGAAACUGGAAUUAAUACCGUAUACGCCCUACGGGGGAAAGAUUUAUCGGGGAAGGAUUGGCCCGCGUUGGAUUAGCUAGUUGGUGGGGUAAAGGCCUACCAAGGCGACGAUCCAUAGCUGGUCUGAGAGGAUGAUCAGCCACAUUGGGACUGAGACACGGCCCAAACUCCUACGGGAGGCAGCAGUGGGGAAUAUUGGACAAUGGGCGCAAGCCUGAUCCAGCCAUGCCGCGUGAGUGAUGAAGGCCUUAGGGUUGUAAAGCUCUUUCACCGAUGAAGAUAAUGACGGUAGUCGGAGAAGAAGCCCCGGCUAACUUCGUG
rnacentral:rRNA from 1 species